CGCAUCUGUGCAUGCAGCAUAUCAAUAAGCGGAGGAAAAGAAACUAACAAGGAUUCCCCUAGUAACGGCGAGUGAAGCGGGAAGAGCUCAAAUUUGAAAUCUUAAAGGGUUUCCCUUUACGAAUUGUAGUUUAAAGAAGUGUUUUCUGUUGAGGUUUUGGUAAAAGUUCUUUGGAAUAGGACAUCAUAGAGGGUGAGAAUCCCGUAUUUGACCUUUACUUUCAACUUUGUGAUACACUUUCAAAGAGUCGGAUUGUUUGGGAAUGCAGUCCAAAAUGGGUGGUAAAUUUCAUCUAAAGCUAAAUAUUGGCGAGAGACCGAUAGCGAACAAGUACCGCGAGGGAAAGAUGAAAAGAACUUUGAAAAGAGAGUUAAACAGUACGUGAAAUUGUCAAAAGGGAAGCGUUUGACACCAGUGUUGUUUUUCUGAAAAUCAAUUAAAGAACUGUUUAUGCUAAGCUGUUUAGACUUUAUCAGCUAACUGUUUAGUUUUGAGCUUUUCUUUAAUGCACUUUUCAGUUAACAAGUCAACAUCAAUUUCUUUUGCUGUGAAAAAGCUUGAGGAAGGUGGCUUGAGAUUCGUCUUAAGUGUUUAUAGCCUCUUGCCUAUGCAGUCGGAGAGAUUGAGGUCUGCAGCGUAGAUCCUUCGGGGCUAAAUGCAUUUGUGCUAAGUUAUAGCAUUUUAUAGACAACUUGUUGACUAUGAUUUGUCUUGUAGCUUACUCGCUUAUGUUAUUUUACCUACGCUUAGGAUGUUGAAUCUGUGCGAGACUA
rnacentral:rRNA from 1 species